UACGUAGGGUGCAGGCGUUAAUCGGAAUUACUGGGCGUAAAGCGUGCGCAGGCGGUUUGCUAAGACAGGUGUGAAAUCCCCGGGCUUAACCUGGGAACUGCGCUUGUAACUGGCAAGCUGGAGUGUGGCAGAGGGGGGUGGAAUUCCACGUGUAGCAGUGAAAUGCGUAGAGAUGUGGAGGAACACCGAUGGCGAAGGCAGCCCCCUGGGCUAACACUGACGCUGAGGUGCGAAAGCGUGGGGAGCGAACAGG
rnacentral:rRNA from 1 species